GACUUUUUAACUAUAUAAGUAUAUAUUUUGAAAAUAUAAAAAAGAAAUUAAUUCUAAAAGUCU
rnacentral:tRNA from 1 species